GGAUGUGAGGGCAGUCUGGCUGUGGUAUUUGUCUCCUCAUUGAUCUCCAAGGUUGAUUCAGCUGAUAUGGCUGGCUAGGCUGUUGUCCCCUUGCUCACUGCUCCUUGUGAGGUCCCCCAGAGCUGUGAAGCUGCACACUAGCUGGAAGAGGAUCAUCCUCUCUAAUAGAGGAAGACCAUUCAAGGUUCUCCCCUGCUAGAACUUCCAAAUAAGCUCUCAAAAAAAAAAAAAAAAAAAAAAAGAAUGGGGCAGUCCUAGUGUGU
rfam:Fukomys damarensis contig150171, whole genome shotgun sequence.